rnacentral:lncRNA from 1 species
CAUUGAUUUUAAUUACAUCCUGCGGUUGCAAUUUAUUAAGUAUCACGUGACAUUCCCAAAUACCCAUUCCACAAAGCAACUCUAUCUCCUCCCGGAAACCUAUCCUCGUUGCUGCAGUUACAUGGACUCCAUAUACUUGUUCCUUGAACUUUUUUUUAUUGCUUGUAGGUUGCUUUGGAAGUAAAUUAAUGGAAAAUUGAGAAAUUUAUUAUAUUUAUACUGCAAAUUAGAACCCGUACACUAGUAGGUUUUUUCUUUUCCAAUAAGCAGAAUAGUGUUUUGGUGUUUACCUUUGAAAGAUCUACCAACUUUAUCGAGGCCAACACCUUUCAAUUUGAAAUUCAUAUACCUGUUAUUCUCAAUUGGAAGGAGCUGUAUGACUAGACCUUCCAUAGAAAAAUUCACAACAAUGCUAAGAGAACUUCGCUAGUGCUGCUAGAUGAAUGAAAAUCCAUGAAUUAAUUUCAUGUUUGGUGAUGGAAUAUAGAAUUAAAACAGAGAAUCGGAAUUGGGAAGAAAAAUUAAUUGAUUGCUGGUAAUUUGAUCACCAACCACCGUUGGGGAUAUAACAAAGUUCCUAAUUUUAUUGGUCGGAAAAUUGCAUUCUUUUGGACUACCCGGGUGAUUGGGUGUCACAAGUUUGGAC